rnacentral:rRNA from 1 species
GGGGAGCGUUCUGUUGUAGGUCGAAGUAUUAGCGUAAGCGGAUAUGGACGAAGCAGAAGUGAGAAUGUCGGCUUGAGUAACGAAAAUAUAGGUGGGAAUCCUAUACCCCGAAAACCCAAGGUUUCCUCCGGAAGGCUCGUCCGCGGAGGGUAAGUCAGGACCUAAGGCGAGGCUGAAAAGCGUAGUCGAUGGACAACGGGUUAAUAUUCCCGUACCAUUUUUUAUGCGAUAUCGAGGGACGGAGAAGGCUAAGCUAGCCGGAUAUUGGUUACCGGUUUAAACGUUCGAGAUGUUGAGAAGCGGAGAAAACGCUUUGAGUUGAGACGUGAGUACGAGACGCUAAGGCGUCGAAGUAGUGUAUGUCAUACUUCCAAGAAAAGCUUGCACUGUCAUUCAUAAAAAAUGCCUGUACCAUAACCGACACAGGUGGGUAGGUAGAGUAUACUAAGGGGCGCGAGAUAACUCUCUCUAAGGAACUCGGCAAAAUAACUCCGUAACUUCGGGAGAAGGAGUGCCUUAUUUAUAUAAGGUUGCAAUAACAAGAUCCAAGCAACUGUUUACCAAAAACACAGGUCUCCGCUAAGUCGCAAGACGAUGUAUGGGGGCUGACGCCUGCCCAGUGCCAGAAGGUUAAAGAAGUUGGUUAGCAAUAGCGAAGCUAGUAACUGAAGCCCUGGUGAACGGCGGCCGUAACAAUAACGGUCCUAAGGUAGCGAAAUUCCUUGUCGGGUAAGUUCCGAC